rnacentral:ribozyme from 2 species
GUUUUAAUGCGACCACGGUAGGCACAAUUCCUUCAUAAUAUGUUGCGAUUCGUAUUCGGUUUUUAGUUCUUUGAAGUCCGACCGUGCCCGUUCCAAGGCGGGAUAAACGCAGAGGAAAAC